rnacentral:lncRNA from 1 species
UAAAGUUAGAGGUGGGGAAUGGGCAGGAAAGCUGAAUGCCUGGUAUCAUCUUAGGAAGAACUUUCUGUGUGAACAUCCUGUGCAGUAAACAAAAGUAACCGACUGUCACUGAAAGUAGGGAAAGUCAGGAAAGCUACCUCUAGAUGAGAAUGGAGACUGCCUGCUGUCUGGUUUCAUUAGAUUCUCCUCUAUACUUCGUUGUUUUUUUUUUUUUAAUGUCUUUAUGGUCAUUGCUUUGAUAAACACAAAUCCAUGUUUUCAGUCUUAUACCUGGAUGUUGGGAUCCAGCAUCUUUGUGUGUGUUUUAAACUAAAAAACUGAAUGGCUGCUUUGAGAUGUAUAGUUCAGGGCUGAGAUGUUACCUUGGUGGUAGACUACUUGGUUGGUGAACUGAGACAGAUGGAUGGGCAGAGAGACAGAACAGUAUCUUCCAGUGGGAUAUACUGAAAGAUUUAUAAGCUUUUAAGAAAAAAAAAUUUCAAACCUAGAUGGCGAACUUCCACCACAAAUGGAGGAAUUUUGACUGUAUCCAUUGACAAUCCUGGAGCUGUACAGUGUCCGGUAACUCAGAAACCACGAUUAACUCGUACUGCUGUGCCCUCAUUCUUAACAAA